rnacentral:rRNA from 1 species
AUUGAACGCUGGCGGCAGGCCUAACACAUGCAAGUCGAACGGUAACAGGAAGACGCUUGCUUCUUUGCUGACGAGUGGCGGACGGGUGAGUAAUGUCUGGGAAACUGCCUGAUGGAGGGGGAUAACUACUGGAAACGGUAGCUAAUACCGCAUAACGUCGCAAGACCAAAGAGGGGGACCUUCGGGCCUCUUGCCAUCGGAUGUGCCCAGAUGGGAUUAGCUAGUAGGUGGGGUAACGGCUCACCUAGGCGACGAUCCCUAGCUGGUCUGAGAGGAUGACCAGCCACACUGGAACAGAGACACGGUCCAGACUCCUACGGGAGGCAGCAGUGGGGAAUAUUGCACAAUGGGCGCAAGCCUGAUGCAGCCAUGCCGCGUGUAUGAAGAAGGCCUUCGGGUUGUAAAGUACUUUCAGCGGGGAGGAAGGGAGUAAAGUUAAUACCUUUACUCAUUGACGUUACCCGCAGAAGAAGCACCGGCUAACUCCGUG